rnacentral:rRNA from 1 species
AGUGAACGCUGGCGGCGUGCCUAAUACAUGCAAGUCGAACGGAGUGGCGCACGGGUGAGUAAUAUAUAGCUAAUCUGCCCCUUGCUGGAGGUCAACAGUUAGAAAUGACUGUUAAUACCCCAUAGCACGGGAUGAGACCAUAUCGUAUCAGCUAGUCGGUGGGGUAACGGCCUACCGAGGCUAUGACGCGUAACUGGUCUGAGAGGAUGAUCAGUCACAUUGGAACUGAGACACGGUCCGAGCACCUACGGGAAGCAGCAGUAGGGAAUAUUGAGCAAUGGGGGGAACCCGAACGCGGCAACGCCGCGUGGAGGAUGACACUUUUCGGAGCGUAAACUCCUUUUGUUAGGGAAGCGGUACCUAACGAAUAAGCACCGGCUAACUCCGUGCCAGCAGCCGCGGUAAUAC